rnacentral:rRNA from 1 species
GGACUUCGGUUCCCGAGUACAGCGGCGCACGGGUGAGUAACACGUGGGUAAUCUGCCUCGGAGUGGGGAAUAACACCGGGAAACCGGUGCUAAUACCGCAUACGACCACAGAGUCUUCGGACUUUGUGAUGAAAGACUUCGGUCGCUCUGAGAGGAGCCCGCGCCCGAUUAGCUGGAUGGUGAGGUAAUGGCUCACCAUGGCAACGAUCGGUAGCCGGUCUGAGAGGACGGUCGGCCACACUGGAACUGAGACACGGUCCAGACUCCUACGGGAGGCAGCAGUGGGGAAUUUUUGACAAUGGGGGAAACCCUGAUCAAGCAACGCCGCGUGGAUGAUGAAGUAUCUCGGUACGUAAAAUCCUUUCGACAGGGAAGAAGCUCUUCGGAGUUGACGGUACCUGUAGAAGAAGCCCCGGCUAACUCCGUGCCAGCAGCCGCGGUAAUACGGGGGGGGCAAGCGUUGUUCGGAUUUACUGGGCGUAAAGGGCGCGUAGGCGGUUUGUUAAGUCGGAUGUGAAAACUGUGGGCUCAACCCAUAGCCUGCAUCCGAUACUGGCAGACUAGAGUGCGAGAGGGGAAGGCGGAAUUCCUGGUGUAGCGGUGAAAUGCGUAGAUAUCAGGAGGAACACCGGCGGCGAAGGCGGCCUUCUGGAUCGCAACUGACGCUGAGGCGCGAAAGCUAGGGGAGCAAACAGGAUUAGAUACCCUGGUAGUCCUAGCCCUAAACGAUGGAUACUUGGUGUGGGGGGA